CAAGCAUGUCAUUUUGUCAGAGAAACCUUUCCACCCUCCGACACAAGUGACACCUGAGGAACUGCCAGGGAUCUAUUAUUUUAGAGGAUGGACAGGCCCUUCUAGAAAGUGUUUCUGUGAAACAGUGGUCAGGAUUGGAAGAUGGUUCUGAAAACGACAUCAAGCCCAUCUUGCUAAUUACUUUCCAGGAAACUUGGGAGAGUAGAUGCUCCAAGCACCUGCGAUUAUGGGAGGAGGAAGAAGAGGAAGAAAAAGUGUAAAGUUUAUCUCCAAAGCGCUUAAAGGUCAUCAAGUCAGACAUGCCAAGAUCCACAUUUGUACUUCACCUUGAGGAACUGACUGCGUGGCUCAGCACUGUGAAGUUUUCCUAGAUGUGUCUGCACAAUGCCUGGCGCACAAGGGGAGCUCAGUACAUGUGUAUCCUUUCUUCUCUCUGCUCUCACUAAAACCAGCAUCUGUAACCUGAAAACCUGUCUAAUCAGAACUUACCUAUUCUAUUUGGAAGUAAUAACUGGAGGGUAGACCUCUUUAAUGAGGUUCCUGUCUCCAUCCCCUCCUCAUGUUGGCUGUUCUAACUCCUGCACUUUCCAAAGUAUGAUGAUGUUUCCUUUGCCUUUGGUCAGAAGCCUCACAUUGGAGAUUGGGGAGGGAAGACCCAGAAGCCUUAGCGCCAAACCAAACCAAACCAACAAUA